AGCGAACGCUGGCGGCAGGCCUAACACAUGCAAGUCGAACGGAUCCUUCGGGAUUAGUGGCGGACGGGUGAGUAACACGUGGGAACGUGCCCUUUGGUUCGGAACAACUCAGGGAAACUUGAGCUAAUACCGGAUGUGCCCUUCGGGGGAAAGAUUUAUCGCCAUUGGAGCGGCCCGCGUCUGAUUAGCUAGUUGGUGAGGUAACGGCCCACCAAGGCGACGAUCAGUAGCUGGUCUGAGAGGAUGAUCAGCCACACUGGGACUGAGACACGGCCCAGACUCCUACGGGAGGCAGCAGUGGGGAAUCUUGCGCAAUGGGCGAAAGCCUGACGCAGCCAUGCCGCGUGAAUGAUGAAGGUCUUAGGAUUGUAAAAUUCUUUCAGCGGGGACGAUAAUGACGGUACCCGCAGAAGACGCUCCGGCUAACUUCGUG
rnacentral:rRNA from 1 species